rnacentral:rRNA from 1 species
GAUGAAUGCUGGCGGCGUGCUUAACACAUGCAAGUCGAGCGGUAACAGGUCUAGUUUACUAGAUGCUGACGAGCGGCGGACGGCUGAGUAACGCGUGGGAACAUGCCCCAAAGUGAGGAAUAACUGCCCGAAAGGGUAGCUAAUACCGCAUAUGAUCUUCGGAUUAAAGGAUUUAUCCGCUUUGGGAGUGGCAUGCGUAUGAUUAGGUAGUUGGUGAGGUAAUGGCUCACCAAGCCGACGAUCAUUAGCUGGUCUGAGAGGAUGACCAGCCAGACUGGAACUGAGACACGGUCCAGACUCCUACGGGAGGCAGCAGUGAGGAAUCUUCCACAAUGGGCGAAAGCCUGAUGGAGCAACGCCGCGUGAAGGAUGAAGGCCCUCGGGUUGUAAACUUCUUUUAUAAGUGAAGAAUAUGACGGUAACUUAUGAAUAAGCACCGGCUAACUACGUGCCAGCCGCCGCCGUA